CAGGCCUAACACAUGCAAGUCGAACGGUAACAGGAAUUAGCUUGCUAAUUUGCUGACGAGUGGCGCACGGGUGCGUAACGCGUAUACAAUCUACCUUUUGCUGAGGGAUAGCCCAGAGAAAUUUGGAUUAAUACCUCAUGGUAUUAUUGAUAGGCAUCUAUUAAUAAUUAAAGGUUACGGCAAAAGAUGAGUAUGCGUCCCAUUAGCUAGUUGGUGAAGUAACGGUUCACCAAGGCAACGAUGGGUAGGGGUCCUGAGAGGGAGAUCCCCCACACUGGUACUGAGACACGGACCAGACUCCUACGGGAGGCAGCAGUGAGGAAUAUUGGACAAUGGGCGCAAGCCUGAUCCAGCCAUGCCGCGUGCAGGAAGACUGCCCUAUGGGUUGUAAACUGCUUUUAUACAGGAAGAAUAAGCCUUACGUGUAAGGUGAUGACGGUACUGUAAGAAUAAGGACCGGCUAACUCCGUGCCAGCAGCCGCGGUAAUACGGAGGGUCCGAGCGUUAUCCGGAAUUAUUGGGUUUAAAGGGUCCGUAGGCGGAUGAUUAAGUCAGGGGUGAAAGUUUGCAGCUCAACUGUAAAAUUGCCUUUGAUACUGGUCAUCUUGAGUUGUAUUGAAGUAGGCGGAAUAUGUAGUGUAGCGGUGAAAUGCAUAGAUAUUACAUAGAACACCAAUUGCGAAGGCAGCUUACUAAGUACUAACUGACGCUGAUGGACGAAAGCGUGGGUAGCGAACAGGAUUAGAUACCCUGGUAGUCCACGCCGUAAACGAUGGAUACUAGCUGUUCGGGACCUUGAGUUCUGAGCGGCUAAGCGAAAGUGAUAAGUAUCCCA
rnacentral:rRNA from 1 species